rnacentral:rRNA from 1 species
GACGAACGCUGGCGGCGUGCUUACCACAUGCAAGUCGAACGGAAAGGCCCUGCUUUUGUGGGGUGCUCGAGUGGCGAACGGGUGAGUAACACGUGAGUAACCUGCCCUUGACUUUGGGAUAACUUCAGGAAACUGGGGCUAAUACCGGAUAGGAGCUCCUGCUGCAUGGUGGGGGUUGGAAAGUUUCGGCGGUUGGGGAUGGACUCGCGGCUUAUCAGAUUGUUGGUGGGGUAGUGGCUUACCAAGGCUUUGACGGGUAGCCGGCCUGAGAGGGUGACCGGCCACAUUGGGACUGAGAUACGGCCCAGACUCCUACGGGAGGCAGCAGUGGGGAAUAUUGCACAAUGGGCGGAAGCCUGAUGCAGCAACGCCGCGUGCGGGAUGACGGCCUUCGGGUUGUAAACCGCUUUCGCCUGUGACGAAGCGUGAGUGACGGUAAUGGGUAAAGAAGCACCGGCUAACUACGUG